UACGUAGGUGGCGAGCGUUGUCCGGAUUUACUGGGCGUAAAGAGCGCGCAGGCGGUCGUUCAAGUCGCGUGUGAAAGCCCCCGGCUCAACUGGGGAGGGUCACGCGAUACUGAUCGACUCGAAGGCAGGAGAGGGUAGUGGAAUUCCCGGUGUAGUGGUGAAAUGCGUAGAUAUCGGGAGGAACACCAGUGGCGAAGGCGACUACCUGGCCUGUUCUUGACGCUGAGGCGCGAAAGCGUGGGGAUCGAACGAGG
rnacentral:rRNA from 1 species